UACGUAGGGGGCGAGCGUUGUCCGGAUUCAUUGGGCGUAAAGCGCACGUAGGCGGAUACUUAAGUUAGGGGUGAAAUCCCGGGGCUCAACCCCGGAACUGCCUUUAAUACUGGGUAUCUCGAGUUCGAGAGAGGUGAGUGGAAUUCCGAGUGUAGAGGUGAAAUUCGUAGAUAUUCGGAGGAACACCAGUGGCGAAGGCGGCUCACUGGCUCGAUACUGACGCUGAGGUGCAAAAGCGUGGGGAGCAAACAGG
rnacentral:rRNA from 1 species